rnacentral:rRNA from 1 species
UACGUAGGGGGCAAGCGUUGUCCGGAAUCAUUGGGCGUAAAGAGCGUGUAGGCGGCCCGGUAAGUCCGCUGUGAAAGUCGGGGGCUCAACCCUCGAAUGCCGGUGGAUACUGUCGGGCUAGAGUGCGGAAGAGGAAAGUGGAAUUCCUGGUGUAGCGGUGAAAUGCGCAGAUAUCAGGAAGAACACCAAUGGCGGAAGCAGCUCUCUGGGACGGUACUGACGCUGAGACGCGAAAGCGUGGGGAGCGAACAGG